UAUUGCAUAUUUAUUGUUUGGAUGUCACCAUCAGAGACGAAGGGAAGGGUAGCCAGGGAGGGAGUCCAGCCCAGCUGCCUGCAGGAAGAUCUGGCUCAGUCUACUAUGGGCAGGGCCCCCCACCAAGCUGAGCCGAAUGGAGACAGCUGAGCUGAGGCCUGACUUUUUCAAUAAAACAUUGUGUAGUUCUGGGCCUCCUGCUGCCCCGGCUCUGUUUCCCCUGGCGCCAAGAGAAGAAGGCGGAACUGAACCCAGGCCCAGAGCCGGCUCCCUGAGGCUGUGCCCCUUUCCGGCAAUCUCUGGCCACAACCCCCACUGGCCAGGCCGUCCCUCCCACUGGCCCUAGGGCCCCUCCCACUCCCACACCAGAUAAGGACAGCCCAGUGCCGCUUUCUCUGGCAGUAGGCACCAGGGCUGGAAUGGGGCCGCCCGGCUCCCCAUGGCAGUGGGUGACGCUGCUGCUGGGGCUGCUGCUCCCUCCUGCCGCCCCCUUCUGGCUCCUCAAUGUGCUCUUCCCCCCGCACACCACGCCCAAGGCUGAGCUCAGUAACCACACACGGCCCGUCAUCCUCGGUAAGCCCCCACCAGGCCCCUGAUGCACCACGCCAGACCCUGGGGAGCCUGGGCCCCAGCCCCUGGCAGCUGACCUGGCCAAAGCCCUUCUGCCCUGCAUAAGCCCCGACAUAAGUACCUGCCCUGGUGUGGGGAGGGGCCAAAAGCUUGUCCCUUAGAGGAAUGACGUCCCUUCUCCCACCACACUGUGACUCUCAGUUGUCUAACCCAGGGGGGGCGGAGUGGGGGACGGGGUGUGCCUGAGGUCUUGGCUGGGGCAUCACAAGCUGUGGUCAGUCACAGCCACACCAGACUCUGGGCCAAGCCCCACCACUCCUUCCUUGGCCCCCACCCACCAAGGACAAGAUGCCCAGCCCAGGAUCGGUGAGCAGGAGAGGCCCAUCCAUGCCCGGCCCCUAUUA
rnacentral:lncRNA from 10 species